CGACUUUCACUACUCCCGCGAUCGCAACCACCUUAGCGAAGCCUACGAGUACGACGAUGGCUGUGAAUGCUCGGAGCGUUUUUCUCUCUUCCGUUUCACAGAAGCGACACAAGAACGGAGACGAAAACGCGUUCAACCCGCGCAGACCGUCUCGCCGUGUCACGUGCGUCUCCGGUGAAGGCUAUUCCAUUAUGUGGCCGUUUGGGGCUGUCCCACGGGCAGAAGACGCUCUUUGUUUUGUGCAUUUCAUGCCACUGCUGGUCUCAAACACACGAGCAGUGCGCCGUGUUGCGUUCGCAGCUGUUGAGGAAGGUUGAGAUGCCUCACUUCCCUCUCUCUUUCUCAUGUGUGCCGUUGGACUGACGCGGCGCUCAAAACAUGCCCUCCACUGCCCCCCUCUCUCUACUACUUUUACUGCCCUUCUUCUGUGCCCUCUGUCACAUUGUCGUUUUUUUUGUCUUUUGUGUUUUGUGACGCGCCUCUAUCACCUCUUGGUGAUGGCGGUGACUCGUGCACGACGCUCUGCUGACCGUAUCGGUGCCAG
rnacentral:misc_RNA from 1 species